CGGACGGAUCCAGGCAGAGGCAGCGGUGGCUCAGGCUCCAGGCGACGGUGGAGGCAGCUCGAGCUCGGACAUCCAGGAGGCGGCGGCGGCGACUCUGCGGAUCCGGGGCGCACAGGCCUGGCGAGCGCCGGCGCGGCGCGCCCUCGCUGCCCGGCUAGCGCCCCCUCCCAGGUCGCGUGGAGCCCGCGGUGACCCCGCUCAAGUUGCUGGGGCCUGCCUUGCGCCGGCGCGGGCGCGCCCAGCUAGCGCAGCAGCCGAGCUAGCGACCAACAAGUGAUGGAUUUGUCCAAUCUUGAAGAGAACCCUAGGUCGAAUCGUAGAGAGAUAAAUCUAGUUGUUAGAGUACGGUCGUUUUUCAAUUUACCUGAUGGUGGACCAAAGUCAUGGAUGCAGGGCAAAACAUUGCUAACUCAAAUUGUUGACAUACAUGCCUAUGGUCUGCAGCAUUUGGUUGAUUUCAUUACCGGGCAUUACAUGUGGGGAUGAAAGAGUACAUAACUUUUUGGCGUGAGUUGGAGACCGAUUCUAUUGAGAUAAAAUUAGAUGAGGAUAUGCUUGAGUGGUUUUAGUGCAAUCUUAAUAAGGGAGUAGCCCAAAUCAAUGCCCAGGUAAAUGAGUUUGUAGGACCACUGCAAUUUUCACCAACUAAACGUAGGUUUCACCCUUCUCUUAGAAAUAAAGUACAUGCAAAUGAGAGAGGCACUAGUGAGUCACAGACCAAUGAGAGAUCCCCAAAUGAGAGAGUGACAUCCACCACCAAGAAAAAAAGAGCCACCAAAGCCAAAAGCAAAGGUGCACAUGAUGAUGAAUGUGUAGGAGUUGAUGAGGAGGGCACGCAUUCUGACACUGAUUCUCUUGUGGCACCGAGUGAUAGCAGCUAUGACAGUGAUUUGGCUGCAUCAUCUGACUGUGCUGAUGGUUGCUCUGAUCCAGAAUUUGACCCUGAUGGUGAAGUAUUUGAUGAUGAUGACGAAUAUGAUCCUCCUCUUUUUCAUAUGAUGUCGAUGAUCCAUGUAUUGAUGUAGGUAUUGCGUUCCCAGAUGUGGAUCAGUGCAAAUUUGCAGUUACCCAUCAUGCUAUCUUGAAUGAUCAUGCCUAUCAGAUUGCGAAAAAGGAUAGACGAAGGUUUAGAGCCAUAUGCAAGAGGGCCAAAGAAGGUUGCAAUUGGAAGUUUUUUGCAUCUACGAGCAAGAAGUACCUUGGCUGCAAGGUUAAGAUGAGUGGACCAAAGCAUACAUGUGGUUCAUUCAAUAAUUGCGGUAAAACGAUGGUCUCCAAUAAAUGGGUAGCCGGAAGAGUGGUUGACUUGUUGCGGGACGACCCUGAAAUGGGACCAAGGGAGUUGCAAGAUAGGCUAAAAAAGAAGUACUCCAUUGAAAUUCCAUAUGACAGAGUUGUGAGAGGCAAGAUGAGAGCAACGGACACCGUAUAUGGGAAGUGGGCUGACAGUUAUGACUUGCUACCCACCUAUCAAACUAAGCUUUUGAGAGUGGUACCUGGCAGUAUUGUUGAGAUAGACACCGAAAAAGAUGACAAUGGCUAUGUGUGUUUCAGCAGGUCCUUUGUUGCUCUUAAAUCAUGCAUUGAUAGGUUUUUGCAAUGAUGUAGGCCUUAUAUUGCCAUGGAUUCCACACAUUUGACAGGGAGAUCUAGGGGUCAGUUAGCAGCAGCUGUUGCAGUGGAUGGUGAGAAUAGGCUAUUUCCAGUUGCUUAUGGAGUGACUGAGACUGAGUCCAAGGAAUGUUGGACUUGGUUUGCCAAUAACAUAGUUACUGUACUUGUUGACUGAACCAUUUUUUUCUUUCUUGUAAAGCGUGAGUGAAAGGGGAAGAGAAAGAGGAAGUGGAAGUACAAGUGUAAGUGCAAGUGCAGCAGGCACAGAAGGUGCUGAAUCAAGAAGGGGAAGGGGGAGUGCAAGUGCAAGUGCCGGUGAAACAGAAACAGAAGAUGCUGGAUCCGGAAGGGGAAGGGGAAGAGGAAGGGGAAGGGGAAGGGGAAGGGGAAGGGCCAAUACAAGUGAAACAGGAACAAGAGAUGCUGGAAGAGUUGGAACAAGAGGAAAAGGGAGAUCCAGAAGCUUGGCUGCAUUGUUAGGAAUAGAUGCAUAAAUUUAUUCUCAAUGAGCAUGUAAUACCUCUCUGGUAGUUGAUGCUUUUGGUGCAUAUGCAUGUGGAUGCCAUCUGGUGUUGUACUGUUGCUAUUGCUGCACCUAUGAUGUUGCUUUUGCUGCACCUAUGAUGGAUCUUAUUUAUCUAUGCAUGUGAUCCAGACUUUAUAAAUGCAAAUUAUGUUAUGAUGCUA